GCAUCUUCGCCACAUUCUGAUUCUGUCGCCAAUUCGUAAUCGCUGCCAGCGCGGCCGUAAAUAAGCGGGUAAGGUGUAUUCAUUGUCAAACCUUGUGUAAGGGAUGUUGCACUGUCACUGUGUCGUGCCUGAGCAUACUUCGUUUUCCUUGUCCAUACAUGGUGAGCAUUGAUCCCCGUGAUUUGUGAUGCUGCCUGCAGGAUGGGGCGUCACUACCUGGGCCCAGUGGAAUACCUGCAGUACAUCAGGGAGAACAAGCAGGUGUGGACCAUGGUAGGCUAUAGUGGCAUACAGGAGUACAUGUGAUGGAUGUGUUUACAAUUAUCCCUUGAUACACCCAGGAUACUACAGAAUGUCAGUGCAGCAGACUCAUGGUAUGGAAGUCAACAUUUUCAUUCACGGUAUACACGUCGGGAAGCUGGCCCUGUGGGUGGCCAUUGCAUUGCCAGAGGACCAAUACCCCACAAAAGCAUGCAAGGACUAUGCCAGAGGCAGGGUUGUAAAAAGUACCUGACCAUGUAUAUGAUGUAGCACCUCAUGUCCCUUAGUAGCAACUUUUGCCUGUGCUCACCAUAUAUGACACUCUUACUGACCAACAGUGUCAUGUUUGUGACAUGCGUUAGCCCAUAUCAAUGACAGCAAUGCCAUGGACAUGAUUUUGCCUGCUGAUGCGUAUGCAGCAGGCUUUGGAUGGUGGACCUGCAGCUGAGCUGGGCGCCACGAUGGAUGGUGGCCUGGUGAGUAGCAGCUGCAGCGGCAGCGGCAGCGGCAGCAGCAGCAGCAGCGACAGCGGCAGCAGCAG
rnacentral:lncRNA from 1 species